CAGAUGAAGAGUUCCAUACAAAAGACCUACUCCCCUGAGAAGUAGUGAAGUGCUCCUGGGGCCCACCAAGGCCACACAAAUCAAGGAGUGGGUGACCUCACCCUGGCUUCAGCUCAGAGCUGAUUUUGAGAUCACCUUUGCAAAACGACAUCGUGCUGGGAGAUGUCAUCAGGACAAGACCAUAGAUGUGGCUGUCAAAGGAGGCACAGAGGAAAGACUAU
rnacentral:lncRNA from 10 species